UCGGACCCAAUAGCUAUCAAGAUUGUGCCUUUAUACCUUCUAGUCACAAAUGUGCCAUCAAUGCAAAUGACUGGACGACAUCACUGAAAAGCCUCAAUGCAAGGACCCAAGGCUAGGAAUGACCGCUGCAUGACCUGUUUGCCUGGAAACUGAGCACAUGGAUAGGCUUUCAGGUCGUAGUAGCGUACUGGGUUCCUCUGGCAUAUGGUGUGCAAUAGGAGAGGGAGGUUGUCAUACGAUGCUUCGUACGUACCCCACUUCAUCUCCAACACCUUUUUCUUGGCUCGGUAAGCUUUGUGGUAGGUAAUCUUAUACUUGAACUUCUCCUCUAUGGCACAAACAAUCGACUUGGGCUCGAAGCUGGGAUUCUCCACUAUCUGGGGAUACAUGUAUUGAGCCACAAAAUCAAUAGUGAGGUUGCGGUGUGUUCCUUCCAAUUCAUCCAGCAAGCAUUGGUGCUCAACCAAUCUAGUCACCUCCCAGUAAUCCUUCCACUUCCCCUUGUAUGCGUGCACCCUAAACGGGCAAUUGCUUCUCACACAGCAGACAUUAUACACCGUCGGGUUGCUCCUUACCACCCUGAACUGCCACUGCAAAGAUAAAGUGGACCAUCGCUUCACAGCUGUCUUCACCUCAUCCCCACUAGGGUACAAAGCACCCACGCAAACCUCAUUCUUCCUAUGCUCCCAAGGGACAUUUUCCCCUACAUUGACCUACAGGGCAGAAUGGUCAUAAGUUGACUAGUUCCACGGGACAGGGUAAGCAUCUUUCUCAUCCGAUGAGUCAUCAUCCAUCGCACCAUUGGCCUCUUGUCCUUCCCUCUCCACCUGCUCAACUAACUCACGGAUGUCUUCCCCCUCAACAGCCUCCCCAUUUGGCUCACGGGUUGCAACAUCAUCCUCUGCAUCUCCCUCUUCUGCCCCAUCUUCAUCAUAUUUUUCAUUUUGCCCAUCAGUACUCUCCACACCUUCCUCGGGUUAAACUUCAACACCUCCCACUUCUUCUUCCAUCUGACUACUAGACCUAAUCUUCAUGAACACUUGAACAUACAAUAUCAGCGGUAAACUGUGCUUCAUGCAACCAUUUACAUCAGCCCGGUAGUUCUGGGUUCCUUCAAUCGGGAUCAGCUCCCAAAAGUUUAUGUCAGGUUGUCUCCUCACUACAGCCCUAACAGACAGAUCCACUUGAUCUCUAUCAAGAUCGAAAUCCUUACAAAGCCACUUGCAUAUUGAACCCCAAGUCCUCUCUCUUCCUCUUAGUAAAUUCUUGCAGAACGACUAAAAUUCAGACAAAUCUACCUCUUUUGGAUCAUAUCUAACCUCCCCUCAACUAUAAAACACUUGGAAAUAUAAACUUUUCGACAUGCCUGCCAAUAUACACGACACGAACAGUGAAAAUUACUCUCAAUAACUUAAAUUAGUUAAUUGCAACGAUACCUACAUUUCAAUAUACGGUACAAAUAUGUAAUUCUAUCAUCGACAAUAAUAACCAUUUUAGAGCUAUCCAAAAUUACGAAGUAAUUCAUUUCAUUUUACCUGGUCAAUACACACGAUAGUACCAUAGGCAAUUACUAAAUUAAUCUAACCCUAAACAGCGGGUCAAUAUACGCGACAAGAACAAAAAUUCUAACUACAUCUAAUAAUUCCAAGUACCCCUGAAACAACUACAUUCUGAAUACCUAUACAUAAUAUAACCCUAGCAUUGCAAAUAAUAUUCAUCUAAAAUUAAUUUACAUAAAUCAACAAACUAAUUUUACUGUAAACUAAAUACCUUAGCUAAAUCCACUAAACUGAGUAAGCUAUAUUUUUCUAUGUCUCAAAUCCACUAGAAUAACUAAGCUACAUUUUUCUAUGUCUCAAAUCCACUAAACUAACUACUAGAUCUAUCUACUACGAGCUAACCUAAACUACGGGAUUAGAAAAAAUACCUCUAACGAAGCGAGGAACGGGACUUCAAUCUCCUCUCCCCUCCCCUCCUCCCUCCCUUCCUUCUUCUCUCCCUCCCUCCCUUCCUCUUCUCUCC
rnacentral:lncRNA from 1 species